rnacentral:rRNA from 1 species
UUAAAGAGUUCUAUAACUCCCAAACCCAUGUGAACAUACCUAACGUUGCCUCGGCAGGUCGCACCUACCUUGUAGCACCCUACCCUGUAGGGCCUACCCGGGAGGUGCGGGUAAGCCUGCCGGCGGCCCACCAAACUCUGUUUGAUAUUGAAUUCUGAACCUAUAACUAAAUAAGUUAAAACUUUCAACAACGGAUCUCUUGGUUCUGGCAUCGAUGAAGAACGCAGCGAAAUGCGAUAAGUAAUGUGAAUUGCAGAAUUCAGUGAAUCAUCGAAUCUUUGAACGCAUAUUGCGCCCAUUAGUAUUCUAGUGGGCAGGACCGUUCGAGCGUCAUUUCAACCCUUAAGCCUUCGUUGCUUAGUGUUGGGAGCCUACGGCAACGUAGCUCCUCAAAGUUAGUGGCGGAGUUGGUUCACACUCUAGACGUAGUAAUUUUUUAUCUCGCCUAUUAGUUGGACUAAUCCCCUGCCGUAAAACCCCCAAUUUAUCAAGGUUGACCUCGAAUCGGUUCAGACAAACUCGCUAAAUUGAAGCAUCUUAGUCAGCGAAGGAAAAGAAACCAACAGGGAUUGCCCUAGUAACGGCGAGUGAAGCGGCAACAGCUCAAAUUUGAAAUCUGG